AGUGAACUUGACCAGCUUGAGAAUCAAGUAGACAAGACCUUAAGCAAAUAAGAUCAAGAAAGGUAAACUAAUUAAAUGGGAAGGGAUUCAGCCAUUCAGGAUGAAUGAGGUCAACUAUUAUAAUCCAUGCCAUUGCACUUUCAUACUUUAAAAUAUGUCUCAGUAAAUAUUAAUCGCCAGACUGCGAGAUCUAGGUUGCGCAGGUCCAACUGUAUGUUCCGUGUAGGAAUUGUUUCUAUUGUUUGUUCCAUGUAUUUUACUUGCAUUUCCAACUGCUCAGAUGCUUCCUCAAAGUUGAGCUUCAGGGUCAUUGUAACCUCGCUUAUCUAUUCGUAACAAUAUGUACAGAUAGGCAAAGAAUAAAUAAAAUGACAAUACAUCAAACAUGAAAACAAACAACGUAAUAAUAUUCUACGCGUCGACACGAGCCUGUAGGUUCGAGAACCACUAAAAUCGGAGAAUAUAUGAUUUUUCUAAGUUCUAGUCAUUUUUAUAUUAAUUUUACACUUGAAAACAAUUAUUAAAGAUUUUUUCUGUAAUUUCUCGAAUUAUUUUAUUUAUUUAAUCAAGAAAAGGAUGGCGGGUUAUAUUUAUUAGGAAACCAGGGUGCAUUUUGUAAAUAAAAAGAACCUAAAUUAAAUCUUUCUUAACGGCACAAAGUGUGACAGCCCUCCCAAGUUAUCAGGCCCACAUGCACCAACCCUAGCCAUUAACGGCCUCAGAUGGUCGUGCACGUGUACCGGGUAACUUAACAAGGCUAUCUAGUUCAUCGACUCGAACUCAUCAUCUCAAGGAUCUCCCACAUAACAGGUAUAUUACAGUAAUCACAUUUGAUACACACACAUUGGAGAUAGAGCGGAAGACUUUUACAAAGUACACUUUACAUUCCAGAACUCAAGUUUUACAUGGUAGAAUGAGAUGUAUUUAUUACAAGUCCUCAUAGUACUCGAAGUGCAUAACUUAUUACAAUAAUUGGAAGGGUGAAGCCUUUUCAUAAGAGAUAUAUAAAAACCUUCUAAGCUUCAAGUCCUCCACAUGAAGUAACUAAUCCAAAGAUAAGGGAAUAAAACUUCUCCUACAAAAACAACAAGGGAUAAAACCCUGAGUACGCAAUUACUCAGCAAGACUUACCCGACUAAAGAAAAGACUCUCAAGGGUAUGUUGGCUUUUGGGAAUCAAGGUAAAGCUCAUCAAAGUUCAAAGACUCAUUUUGCAGAAAAGCUUACUAAAAGUGGGUCCUUAAGCCAAGUUUUAUUUCACAAGUUAGUUUAUUACCUGAAUCUUCUAGCCUGAAUCUAGCAUUUUCCUAAUCUAGAUCAUUCACUUGACCUACACUAGGUUGCUUUUAAAAUCCAAAUUUUGUUUUGCUUGUUAUCUACGAUGAAGGGCAGCGAUCCAGUCUUCAUAUCCGAGAAGUAACGGCGAUCCGAAUCGAUUAAUACCCAGCUGGGGAUCUCCAACCACACGAUAUAUGUAGCACUUAACCCUUGCAUAUGUCAACCAUCCCCACGGAUCCUCCACUACAUGAACUGGUCCGCGCUACCCGGGAGCACAUUACCCUAACAUUCAGCUUCUUGCUAGGAGGGUAACUGCUACUCCCACCAUCUCCCACGCCCAGUGCGCGGUUGUCUUUUCACGUAUGGAAUAGCCGGGUUCAGGCUUACCCAUGACGAGGUAUGUGGCCAGUUAAAAGGUCCUAGAUCAUCAGGCCAACAAUCGGUACGGUCCUUAAUCGACACAGACGGACGACCUUUCCUGCUCAGCGUCUGGUCCCAUUUUAAACUAUUUCAAAAUUUUGGCGCCUGACAGAGGGGCCAUGCCAGGAUAAUGAAUUUAUCAACGUCUUGAUGCCUUCAUUAUCCCAAGCCCAUUUUCUUGUUUGUAAAAACAUGAGUCAUAGAUCAAAAACAUUUUUCUUAGUCUAUCAGCAUGACUAAGCAUCUCUAGCUUUUAUAAAACAGGUGACAAGGUAUGGUAAUCAAUCUUUCAAGGAUGGUAAUGCAUCAAGUGUUUAAUCAAUCAACUCCUAUUACCUAAUGCAACAUAUAAGUGAUAAAAUUUUGUAAACACAAGGGAGGUGGCAAAUGCACCGGGGCUUGCCUUAUUGUAGUGAAGAGGUUCUAGAUCUUCUACCCAAUAACCAGUUAGAUAGCUCCAUCCACUUGAUGAACAAGCACUGGAGCAAACUCCUCUUCCACAACCACUUCAUCUUUAAUUUACACUCCUUCUGCUGGGAGCUCUACAUGAAAUGAUAUGAACAUGAAUGCUUAUGCUUCUUGCAAAUAAAAUACUAUAAAACAUCACAAGACUAUACUUCCUCUCAAAGGUGUAACCAAACACAAAACAAAGGAUUUACUAGCACAAAGACUCUAAAUACUCUAAUAACAUAACCAAACUCUUCAACCAUGCAAGGGAACCAUGUCUCUAUAUCCAAGUAUUCCACCAAUACCUUAAGCAAGGAUCUAACUCUCUUACAUUGAACCCUACAAGCUAUGGCUAUCAAGAGACUAGAACACACAAAGCCCCAAAGUAAGGAGAAAAACACUGGACCAAAGUGACAGUAACUGAAGCUGGUCUGCAUUGCACAUGUCUGACAGAGCUAGUUAGGACACCAUAAACUUCCAAACUUAUAUAGUACCAAGCCAAGCUUCCACAAGUAAACUUGCUUACUAAUACUUGGUCUCCAAUUUUGCUACACAAAAUAUAUCUCCUAACUGCAUAGAACAACCCCAAGGAAACUCCAAUGUUGAGCCAACAUACUGAAAUGUCCAAUUUCAGAGGUCUGGAAUAGCCUAACAUCAACCUGGCAGCCUAACUUUGAGCAAGAUUUACACCUAGUUCUAUAUAGCUCUAAGGUCAAAUAGCUUAAUCAAGUUUGUGCUCCUAGAACAGAUAUACAAGGUUGCUAUAAUGAUCAACAACUAAAGACUCAUGGAUUCAAUGCUAUAAUGCUUCAAGUUGACACCAUUCAUUGCAACUAGUUUCAGUUAACUGAAACAAACACCCAUUAAGUCCGUCGGAAGGAUUUGUAACCUCAUUUACUCUAAUUUUCACAUAAGAACAAAUCCAACACUUUAUAUGAAACUUGUUCUCCUUCAAAUGGUCUUUGACUGUGCUAUAAGAUUCUUAGUCCAAAACCUUGUGGACUGAUCACAAAGUUGCUCCAAACUGGGCACUAAAUACUAAAAUUUCAGUUGGAGUUAACUGAAUUCAGUUUAGAGAAAAAUAAGCCUGACAGCACACCUUUAGGCACUAAUUAUUCCUAGCUCUAAGUAGUGUCAAGGGCAUAAUCCUCACCAAACUUUACUACCCUAACACUGGUCUUCAAGUUUUCUAUAGCAACUAUGGUCUAAAACUACUCAGAUUGGUCACAAACACUUCCAAACUGAGCACCCAACAUUGCAAUUUCAGGUUUCAGUUCUGAAUAAAAAUUGAGUCCAACAAACCUGACAGUCCAAGUUCUCGGUGGGUACAUGAAACUGCUUGGGGAAGACGUACGUUGGCUGGUCGACGAUGAAACUAAACACGGCGAUGAAUUGUGGUGGCACGACUACGUUCUGGCCACUGUGAGGUGAAGGGGCUGGUGGCCGAGGUCACUACACAGGAGGACGAUGUCGAGCAUCUGUCUUGAACAAAGCAACUGGGCGACAGGAGUGGCUGGAGAAGUUAACACAUGUAUAGAAGAAUGGUGAGGCACAGUGAGCAGGUCAUGGAAGCAACGGGAGCACCACAAGUUUCAGUUCUAGGCUUCAACUGUCAUGGCAAGCAAUGGGCUAUUUGUGGCUUUACUAGGACUUAUCGCAGGGGAAAACAAAACUAAUAUACUCCACCUCUGACCUCCCCACUGCAUGACCACCACGCAAGGGCAAGGCACAGUGGAACAGCAGUGGUGGCCAAAACUCCCAGGGACAACACACCACCAAGCAGACAGACAGCUAACACAUAGGAUAGAGUUCACAUCUUCAAUCCUAUCCUUGGGGUGAUAAGGCUGUGCCAAGUUACCUGUCCCCCCAGCACAUUUCUUUCUUAUCCUCAGUUUCCCCUAGAAGUACAUGGAGUCCGUAGUGGCCAGUGAUAUUUUCUUCAGAUAUUUUUACUCCACCCUGAACUGCUACUGCUCGACAGCCCAUCCAGAUUCUUCCCCUCUGUCCACUGCUCCACAACAGUACGAAUUUGGAUAUUUCCCGUGGGGAGAGCAGCCACUAGCACCUAGGCUAAGCACUUCCCCCUUAUCUUCAUUUAUUAAAACUACAAGUGAAAUCACAGGGAGACGAGAUUCUUCUUUAGUUUUCCCCAAUUCAGACUCUGGUUCACUGAAACAGCACUCAUUUCUCCAUUGCACCCUCCCUGUUCAGGCCCUCUGAUCUACCAAUUCUUCGCAGCAACAGACCACUCUCCCUUAACCAAAAUUAUUCUCUACUUGUAGCUCUACCUAUUUUAUAUAGCAACGCAUGACUAAAAACAUAUAGAACAAAAGUUAUGGUACCCCAAAGUACAGCCAAUGUCACUGAAAAAUCAGUUUCAAAAAUCUGAAACAGCACAAUACUGAGUCUGAUAGAGGGUUUUGCAGCAGGCUAUUCUCUAAAUUCCAUACAGAAGCAAGCCCACUCUUUGAACAAAACUUGUUCAUCUACAUCUGGUAUCUCAUUUUGCUACUGAUUUUUAACCCAAAUCUCUUUUGGAUUUAUUACCACAAGGCCCCAAAGUUGGGUAAAAACACACAUAUUCAGACUUAAAUAUUAUUCAAAGUCUGAAUCCCAACACCUGACAGUCCACCUUUUGACCACUUUUACUCCCAAAUUUAUGUGGAACCAGGUCAAUCUCACUUUAUCAAACUUGUUCACUUUACCAUGGUCUACAACUUUUCUAUGGAACCCAUAGUCUAAAUCUACAUGAAUCAGUCACAAAUGGGCUCCAAACUCAGCAUAUUUCACUGCAAUUCAGUUUUCAAUAACUGAAUAUAAUUCAGUUUCAGCCACAACACAGUCCCACUUUAAGCAGUUGUUACUCCAAUUCUUGUAUGGGAUCAUGUCCAUCACCCUUUAAGGAAGUUGUUCCCCAAUAUAUGGUAUUUAAUUCCUCUACAAGCACCACAGUCUAAAAUCUUAUAGAACAGCCAUAAACCAACUCCAAAGCUGCACUAAAAAUGCUGAUUUCAGACUUUCAGUUCUGAAUAAACUAAGUCAACAACAAUCUGAUAAUCCAACUUUGGCAAAGUUUUUCUCCACUUUUUGUAUAGGAUCCUUCCAAAAACACUUAAAGAAAGUUGUUCACCAUGAUCUGGUCUUCACUUCCUCUAUAUAAACCACAAUCCAAAACCUUAUAGAACAGACACCAAUAGGCUCCAAAACAGCACUCACAACACUAAAUUCCAGGUUCAGACUACUGUUUUAAGUCUGAAAACUGGGAAAUCUGUCAAUCAAUAUUUGGGCUAUCUUUUCUACCAGUAGCAUGUAGUUUUGGGAUAUAUCACUUAAUAAGAAUUGUUCUCCUCUCAUUACUCUAAAAGUUUGGUAUAGUCUUCAUUAGCCAAAACCUCUUGGAUCCCAAACUACAAUAACCCAAAGUUUGCUCCAAAUGCUGAAAUUCAGACUCUGAAUUUCACUAAGUCUGAAAUCUAUAUUUUCUAACAGCUCUUCUUUAGACCAGUUCUUCUCCAAAUUCCAUAUAGAUUUAAGUCUAGGUGACUUAAUCAAAGUCACACUCCUCACAUAGCUCUAUAACUUUGUUACAAUGACCACCUUCAAAAUGUUUAUAGAUCAGAAGUUAUAAAGGACCAAAGUUGACUAGUUGAUAUGAUUUUCAGAAAUCCUAAUCUGAACCCAAACUGAACUUUUGUGAAUCACUCCAAAUUUAUCUAUAAAACAUGGAAACCUCCAAAUAAGAAAUUAUUCACUUUUCCAAGCUCCACAACUUUGAUAUAUGGACUUUUGCCAAAUUAUUUCUAGAUUUUGAAUUCCACUUUUGGGCUAGUUUUAGGGUUUCAAAUGAGUUUCAUUUGUGUUUCAGCUUCUUCCAUGGAUUCAUCUCUUUAAUCCAUCCAUCAAAACAAAGUUACUCUCUAGUCUAAGAUCCAACUUUAGUAUAUGCAGCUCAUUCCCAACCAGUCCUCGGUUUAGGAAUUAUUUUGUUUAUCCAUAAUUCCAAGCAAGUUUUUCAACCUAAGUCCUAUACUCAACACACAACAUCACACUUUUGAAUCGAAAAUUUUAACCUAGUAAAUGCAUUCUAGGUGUAACAAGCAAGUUAAUGCAAAUGCUUAUGAUGACAUGUCAGAGUUUUAGUUCACGUAACACCAGGGGUGUUACAGCCUUCCCCCCUAAGAAGAAAUCUCGUCCCGAGAUUUAAAAGUCUAGGCUUAGUAAUGGAAAAGGAAAUGCGUCACCGGUUUAUUUCCUAGUUACUCCUACAAGGCAGGGGGUGUGCCCCCAUUGGUUUAUACCAAAGACAACUUAUACAAAUCUAGGGUUUACAAGACACUAGGAACUCAGGAAUAUACUUUUCCAAAUACUUCUCUGACUACUACAUGGCUUUAUCUUCCGGGUGUUAGUUCUACUGUAUCUCGUAAAACUCGAUAACUUUUCUUCGAGUGACCUGAUCCUUUUGAUCUAACAGAUUUAUGGGAUAUUCCGAGGAGGUUAAACCUGGUUUAUGGUUAACAUAUAAAAUCUCAAUAACAUAUUUGGGGACUCGAAGACACUUCUUCCAUUGGGACACGUGGAACACGUCGUGCACUGUUGAAGGUCCUUUUGUAACUGUACCUUAUAAGCUAUAGGUCCACCAAAAUCUCUGUUUCAAACCUUGGUACCUAUUGCUACCUUUAGGGUGAAUGGAGUCCCGGACUGCAACCCAAUCGCAAUUCCACAUCCCUUUCUGGAGGCAACUAGUCAAAUCUUUGAGGAACACAUCCGAGAACUCCCUCACAUCAGGUAUAUCCUUUACUUCUUUUACUUAAACUACUGAUGUAGACGAAUCUUAUUAUUUCCUAGAAUAGCCUCACUGACCAUCUCCUUAUAUCCUUCAACCAAACUAAUUGCCAUCAGGAGCUAAAGUUUCACAUUAAGAUCACGUAGGAUGUAUUACUUUUUUUUCACUGGCAUCCACAUAAUCCAAAACAUACUGGGAUAGGCGAGUAAACCUCUCAAAUAGUCCAUUACACUCGCUUCUUCACCUUGCUUUAGAUCCAAAAACACUUUGAACUUUAUUUAUAUAGGGGCUUAUGGAACAUGACGUGCCCGAAAUACCUCACAGAAUUCAACCCGAGAACUUAAAGUCCUUCUGGCUGCAGCGCAAGGUAUUCUGCCCACCAACUAAACGUGGCUUCCAGUCUUCAAAAACAAGGAAAGGUAGCAUAGAAAGGUAAAGACAAACAACAUAAACAGGGUAGACGAAACACGUACUAAAGCUACUACAUAGGGUGUUUAACUUAAAGUUAUAUGUCAUGAUGCAUGCUCGUCCUAUUCGUCCUCACAAUCUUGCUAGCAUAUAGUGGCUUGCACGCUCUAUGGCGGUGGCAUACCUACUCACUCCGGAGUUAACUAGUCGUAAUUUCCUAGAGUUUAGUCAGUGUACCUGCAGAAAAUUCCAUUACAGCCCAAACCCCAUGAUGCAAUUCACACAUUUGGUCACAGUUUAUACUCCAUAUAUUUCUAUAUGGAGGCCAGCUCCUCAUUAAGCGCCGAGCCACGCAUAGGCGCCGCUGCCACACUUUUAACCACAGGGCAGCCCAUUGUGGUAACUUACCUUCUUACCUGCGCGUAGGUGCGUCGUUGCGAGUACAUUACACUUCUCAGUAUUCUCAUGUCUAUAUAGCCAUACACAUCCAUGGGGUACUGAAUCCCGGAAAAGUAAUUACUCCACAUCGCAGCCUUCAUAUAUACAUAUGUGGAACAUGUAUAUAAUCAAGCGCCACAAUUAAGCACUCCCCUAGACCGACGUUUGUUCGGUCAUGCUCUCACAACUCACCUUGACCUGAGCGUCGAUCCAUUCAAAACUGAAUGGCACUAAAAAUAACAUUACACAUGUAUGCAUUACCCUUCCCAGGUUGUGGGUUAGUGGUUAGCAUCUUAAACUAGGCCACCUUAUAGUCCUUAGUUUUAACCACAUAUUAUUUGCACUUCUACUAUCAGGCCUUGAUUAUAGAUUCUUAAGUUUAUAAAAAUCAUUUUGAAGUUUAUUAAAGGAUUACUUUAAUAUCCAUGCUAAUGGGGGAUCGCUCCGAUACCACGCUGUGACAGCCCUCCCAAGUUAUCAGGCCCACAUGCACCAACCCUUGCCAUUAACGGCCUCAUAUGGUCGUGCACGUGUACCGGGUAACUUAACAAGGCUAUCGAGUUCAUCGACUCGAACUCAUCAUCCCAAGGAUCUCCCACAUAACAGGUAUAUUACAGUAAUCACAUUUGAUACACACACAUUGGAGAUAGAGCGGAAGACUUUUACAAAGUACACUUUACAUUCCAGAACUCAAGUUUUACAUGGUAGAAUGAGAUGUAUUUAUUACAAGUCCUGAUAGUACUCGAAGUGCAUAACUUAUUACAAUAAUUGGAAGGGUGAAUCCUUUUCAUAAGAGAUAUAUAAAAACCUUCUAAGCUUCAAGUCCUCCACAUGAAGUAACUAACCCAAAGAUAAGGGAAUAAAACUUCUCCUACAAAAACAACAAGGGAUAAAACCCUGAGUACGCAAUUACUCAGCAAGACUUACCCGACUAAAGAAAAGACUCUCAAGGGUAUGUUGGCUUUUGGGAAUCAAGGUAAAGCUCAUCAAAGUUCAAGGACUCAUUUUGCAGAAAAGCUUACUAGAAGUGGGUCCUUAAGCCAAGUUUUAUUUCACAAGUUAGUUUAUUACCUGAAUCUUCUAGCCUGAAUCUAGCAUUUUCCUAAUCUAGAUCAUUCACUUGACCUACACUAGGUUGCUUUUAAAAUCCAAAUUUUGUUUUGCUUGUUAUCUACGAUGAAGGGCAGCGAUCCAGUCUUCAUAUCCGAGAAGUAACGGCGAUCCGAAUCGAUUAAUACCCAGCUGGGGAUCUCCAACCACACGACAUAUGUAGCAUUUAACCCUUGCAUAUGUCAACCAUUCCCACGGAUCCUCCACUACAUGAACUGGUCCACGCUACCCGGGAGCACAUUACCCUAACAUUCAGCUUCUUGCCAGGAGGGUAACUGCUACUCCCACCAUCUCCCACGCCCAGUGCGCGGUUGUCUUUUCACGUAUGGAAUAGCCGGGUUCAGGCUUACCCAUGACGAGGUAUGUGGCCAGUUAAAAGGUCCUAGAUCAUCAGGCCAACAAUCGGUACGGUCCUUAAUCGACACAGACGGGCGACCUUUCCUGCUCAUCGUCUGGUCCCAUUUUAAACUAUUUCAAAAUUUUGGCGCCUGACAGAGGGGCCAUGCCUGGAUAAUGAAUUUAUCAACGUCUUGAUGCCUUCAUUAUCCCAAGCCCAUUUUCUUGUUUGUAAAAACAUGAGUCAUAGAUCAAAAACAUUUUUCUUAGUCUAUCAGCAUGACUAAGCAUCUCUAGCUUUUAUAAAACAGGUGACAAGGUAUGGUAAUCAAUCUUUCAAGGAUGGUAAUGCAUCAAGUGUUUAAUCAAUCAACUCCUAUUACCUAAUGCAACAUAUAAGUGAUAAAAUUUUGUAAACACAAGGGAGGUGGCAAAUGCACCGGGGCUUGCCUUAUUGUAGUGAAGAGAUUCUAGAUCUUCUACCCAAUAACCAGUUAGAUAGCUCCAUCCACUUGAUGAACAAGCACUGGAACAAACUCCUCUUCCACAACCACUUCAUCUUUAAUUUACACUCCUUCUGCUGGGAGCUCUACAUGAAAUGAUAUGAACAUGAAUGCUUAUGCUUCUUGCAAAUAAAAUACUAUAAAACAUCACAAGACUAUACUUCCUCUCAAAGGUGUAACCAAACACAAAACAAAGGAUUUACUAGCACAAAGACUCUAAAUACUCUAAUAACAUAACCAAACUCUUCAACCAUGCAAGGGAACCAUGUCUCUAUAUCCAAGUAUUCCACCAAUACCUUAAGCAAGGAUCUAACUCUCUUACAUUGAACCCUACAAGCUAUGGCUAUCAAGAGACUAGAACACACAAAGCCCCAAAGUAAGGAGAAAAACACUGGACCAAAGUGACAGUAACUGAAGCUGGUCUGCAUUGCACAUGUCUGACAGAGCUAGUUAGGACACCAUAAACUUCCAAACUUAUAUAGUACCAAGCCAAGCUUCCACAAGUAAACUUGCUUACUAAUACUUGGUCUCCAAUUUUGCUACACAAAAUAUAUCUCCUAACUGCACAGAACAACCCCAAGGAAACUCCAAUGUUGAGCCAACAUACUGAAAUGUCCAAUUUCAGAGGUCUGGAAUAGCCUAACAUCAACCUGGCAGCCUAACUUUGAGCAAGAUUUACACCUAGUUCUAUAUAGCUCUAAGGUCAAAUAGCUUAAUCAAGUUUGUGCUCCUAGAACAGAUAUACAAGGUUGCUAUAAUGAUCAACAACUAAAGACUCAUGGAUUCAAUGCUAUAAUGCUUCAAGUUGACACCAUUCAUUGCAACUAGUUUCAGUUAACUGAAACAAACACCCAUUAAGUCCGUCGGAAGGAUUUGUAACCUCAUUUACUCUAAUUUUCACAUAAGAACAAAUCCAACACUUUAUAUGAAACUUGUUCUCCUUCAAAUGGUCUUUGACUGUGCUAUAAGAUUCUUAGUCCAAAACCUUGUGGACUGAUCACAAAGUUGCUCCAAACUGGGCACUAAAUACUAAAAUUUCAGUUGGAGUUAACUGAAUUCAGUUUAGAGAAAAAUAAGCCUGACAGCACACCUUUAGGCACUAAUUAUUCCUAGCUCUAAGUAGUGUCAAGGGCAUAAUCCUCACCAAACUUUACUACCCUAACACUGGUCUUCAAGUUUUCUAUAGCAACUAUGGUCUAAAACUACUCAGAUUGGUCACAAACACUUCCAAACUGAGCACCCAACAUUGCAAUUUCAGGUUUCAGUUCUGAAUAAAAAUUGAGUCCAACAAACCUGACAGUCCAAGUUCUCGGUGGGUACAUGAAACUGCUUGGGAAAGACGUACGUUGGCUGGUCGACGAUGAAACUAAACACGGCGAUGAAUUGUGGUGGCACGACUACGUUCUGGCCACUGUGAGGUGAAGGGGCUGGUGGCCGAGGUCACUACACAGGAGGACGAUGUCGAGCAUCUGUCUUGAACAAAGCAACUGGGCGACAGGAGUGGCUGGAGAAGUUAACACAUGUAUAGAAGAAUGGUGAGGCACAGUGAGCAGGUCAUGGAAGCAACGAGAGCACCACAAGUUUCAGUUCUAGGCUUCAACUGUCAUGGCAAGCAAUGGGCUAUUUGUGGCUUUACUAGGACUUAUCGCAGGGGAAAACAAAACUAAUAUACUCCACCUCUGACCUCCCCACUGCAUGACCACCACGCAAGGGCAAGGCACAGUGGAACAGCAGUGGUGGCCAAAACUCCCAGGGACAGCACACCACCAAGCAGACAGACAGCUAACACAUAGGAUAGAGUUCACAUCUUCAAUCCUAUCCUUGGGGUGAUAAGGCUGUGCCAAGUUACCUGUCCCCCCAGCACAUUUCUUUCUUAUCCUCAGUUUCCCCUAGAAGUACAUGGAGUCCGUAGUGGCCAGUGAUAUUUUCUUCAGAUAUUUUUACUCCACCCUGAACUGCUACUGCUCGACAGCCCAUCCAGAUUCUUCCCCUC
rnacentral:lncRNA from 1 species